rnacentral:rRNA from 1 species
AGCGAACGCUGGCGGCAGGCCUAACACAUGCAAGUCGAGCGCCCCGCAAGGGGAGCGGCAGACGGGAGAGUAACACGUGGGAACGUACCCUUUGGUUCGGAACAACCCAGGGAAACUUGGGCUAAUACCGAAUAAGCCCUUACGGGGAAAGAUUUAUCGCCGAAGGAUCGGCCCGCGUCUGAUUAGCUAGUUGGUGAGGUAACGGCUCACCAAGGCGACGAUCAGUAGCUGGUCUGAGAGGAUGAUCAGCCUCACUGGGACUGAGACACGGCCCAGACUCCUACGGGAGGCAGCAGUGGGGAAUAUUGGACAAUGGGCGCAAGCCUGAUCCAGCCAUGCCGCGUGGGUGAUGAAGGCCCUAGGGUUGUAAAGCCCUUUCGGCGGGGAAGAUAAUGACGGUACCCGCAGAAGAAGCCCCGGCUAACUUCGUGCCAGCCGCCGCGGUAA